GUUUGAUUUUGACUAGAAAUGUAAAUGAAAAUUGGACGUUUACAAAAAGACAUUUCUAGUAAGUACAUUAUGUUACAUCCUUUUCAAAGCAAAAUAUUUUGCAGAUCGCUUUUUCUCCAUAGGCAUAAAAGAGGGUAAUAAUAUACAUGUACGAAUAUUUCAUGUUGAUUCCUUUGUAUACAAAAUGCAUUAUCUGCCGAUAUUGUUACUAGUCUUAGUACUUUAUUUAUAUACCGAAAGUAGAGCUUCGAAAAAAAAAACUAUCAGAAUACUGAUUUUCCGUAUUUUUGUUAAUUUCCAAGGGCCUUGGAGUCCCUUGGAGAUCGGAUUAUUCAACAUUGAUCAGCAACACUCGAAUUUUAAGCGUAGCAAAAUGUAUUCGACUCCUAUCCUUAUUGAUAACAGUUCUGUCUAGAUACUCCGACUGCCGCCUCGAAAAAAAAGCUUUUAGACUGCGUACCCGUCCACUUAUUUGUUAAAUAUAAAUCAUUUAUAUUUCAAAGAUUUUAUACUUUUCUAACUACCAACAAGACUUUAUCAACUCACAACUAGACUUCCGUAACUCGCAACUCGACUUUUAUGACACGGAACUCGACUUUUGUAACUCUCAGCUCGACUUACUUUAUUUUUCAACUGGAUAUCAUUUUUUUAGAAACCAUCAAAUUGUGCCUGUCAAUCUAUUUCUAUACACUAGUCAACCUUCCCUACCUUAUCUGAAGAAAAACACAGGUUUAAUUAUAUAUUUUUUUUAAUCAUGUUUGGCCGUGAUACAAUUUGAACAAAUUUAUUUGGUGAGACAUGUUUCUAUAAAUUACAUAUGUGACGGACUAUUGAUAAGGGGGACUCCGAAAGGUGUUACAAAUAAGCCGCUUAAUUUGAACAUGUUGAAAGUUUCAUGUUUUACUUUUAAAAUAUCUCUACCUCUGUCCAAUGCUAACCGACCCAACCCUUCUGUUUCUUUAAAACAUUUCAUCGUAUAAGUGCAAAAUGUACUAUACAAAUAUCUCAACAUGGUUUACAAUUAUUGUGAUAUGUAUAGUAGUGUUGUGAUUAAUAGAAAACAAUCGCGUUUAUAUUAAAAUGAAAGGUUACAUUAAGUAUAUAGUAGUUAGUGUAUUUCAUACACAAAACAUUCCCAUGCGUUAAAUUCAAUGAACAAGUCAUUUUCCUUAAAGCAAGUUAUUUUACGUCUAGUACAGUAACUAGAGUAUACAAGUGUGUAAUACGAUGACUAAUACAGGUGACCAUUUCAAAGCUUCAUUUCAUUUAUUUAAAUCUUAAUUCACAUUUACAUCCAAAAGUAAGCAGUGAAUAGAGAAAAUGAGAUGCUAUCGACAAUAAAAAAAAAAAGACUUGAAACUACACGUCUACAAAAAGAAAAAAAAAGUAUUUUUACCCCCUUCCCCCUUUUUAUGGUUAAGGUAGGAAAGGGGAGGCUCAUGUUCACCUAGUUCUGGCACCUUUAUAAUUAUUUAAAACUGUUAUUUUUAUGGUGUAAACAUUUUUUCUGCGAGAUUUUCUGAAAGUAUUUUGUUUCAAUUCGUAAUUGUAAAGUAGUUAUUGUUUCACCUGAAACACAAUGUACUGAGAUAAUUAUACUGUAACAAAUGUAUUCAUGACUGGUUAAAGGUAUAAAAUAGUAUUAAAUUAAACUUGAAAUUGACGUAUAGCUUGGGAAAUGGACAAAUGUACUUCCUAGUUCUAUUGUAUACUUACUGUGAAAGUAUUCCUGAUGUAAGGUACGUUUUCUUUUGUUAAAAUAUCACUUGUUUUUUUGUCUUCACGAAAUAUAUGCAAGUAGUCAUACUACAUAUACAAAAUGAGGAUAAAGCAUCUUAUUAUUUCUAUAGUAUGAAUACAUUUGAUAAAAUUAUUUGCAUUUGAUUUAAAACAUAUUUAUGUAUAGAUCGAGGAUUGUGAUACAAGUACUUUCUUAUAUUAAUCUCUUUUCCCUUUGCUGGUGCGAGCGCUGCCUUGUAGUCUGUUCUUUUUCGAAAUUUACAAGAGUGUCUUUUACGUGCAAUAAUACGACUUAUAUAUGACGCCGGCCUCCGGAUUUUUUAAAAUCCUUUGGUGACCCUAGCCUGUUGUCUGAUCUUUUGUCGGGUUGUUGUCUCUUUGCACAUUCCGCAUUUUCAUUCUCAAUUUUAAGUCGACGUAAAAGUUCAAUUUACAAUGAAUCAUAUCCAAAUAAUAUAUCUCUCAUUCAAGGAAAAUAUUUAUGUUUAGACAUUCUAUAUUUAACUAAUUUUGUCAUAUUGGUUGGUAGGUGGGAUCAUCGGACACAUUUGUUAAACUAAAUACCAUAAUAAUGAUUGUGACCAAGUGUUGUUAAAUUUGUCUCAGUAGUUUCAGAGGAUAAGAUUUUUGUAAGAUUACAAAAUUUUACAAAUAAUCGUUAAAAUUUUACUAUAAAGGACAAUAACUCCUUACAGGGUCAAUUGACCAUAUUGGUCAUGUUGACUUAUUAGUAGAUCUUACUUUGCUGAGCAUUAUUGCUGUUUUUACAGUUUAUCUCUAUAUAUAAUACUAUUCAAAAUAAUAACCAAAAACUGCAAAAUUUCCUUAAAAUUACCAAUUCAAGGGCAGCAACCCAACAACGGGUUGUCCGUUUUGUCUGAAAAUUGCAGGACAGAUAGAUCUGAUAAACAAUUUUGUUUGGGCCAUGUGAGCUAAAACAUGAGAUAUUUAAUCCGCAGCUUUUAUAAUUCCAGAUGAAAUAUGGUAAAUUUUGUACUAAUCUUAAUAAUCAACCCCUCUUAAUUUUUUUUUAGACCAGAACAGAUGUACAUAGAUAUAAGAAGAUGUGGUAUGAGUGUCAAUGAGACAACUCUCCAUCCAAGUCUCAAUUUGUUAAAAUAAACCAUUAUAGUUUAAAGUACGGUUUUCAACACGGAGCCUUGGCUCACACCGCACAGGCAGUUUUAAAGAGCUCCAAAAAUGACUAGUGUCAACUCAUUUAAACAGAAAAAUGAACGGUUUAAUCUAUAUAAACAAACGAGGAACAAGAAACACUUUUGAACCACAUCAACAAACGGCAAUGUACAUAACACUUAACAGACAGAUUGCACAUAUUUUGGAGACGUGCACCUGCUUAAAUGAAGUUGUUUGAAUUUUCAUUUUAUUUAUAGUCCUUAUCAUAAAAAUAACAGGUAACAUAUAUAUAUUGUGUAAUAAACUUAUCGAAGAUCUUUGAAGUGUCACCGAGUGCAACACUGCAACUAAAGUUUUUAUUGAAUUGUUAUUAUUAAUAAGGACUUUUUUCCCAUUUUUUAAAACUUGGAAACCUAGAGAUUUUGUUUUUAAACAUUAACCCUCCUUUAAUCAUUUAGACUGUACCUAGGAAUACGAGGACCUAUAUAUUUUCAUAUCGUUACGUUUAUAAUUAAAAUUGUGUAAGCGCAACUUUAUAUUUCGCAGAUAUUUCCUCUAACAAUGGCAAAUGGUCUAUACAUUUUUAUCUUUUCGAGAAUGGCAUUUUAGAAGAAAAACAUUAUAUAUUUGAUGAGGCAUAUACGUUAAUGGGCCUAUUUCACUUUUUCUAACUGUAUCGCUGGAAUUAUAAAAGCAACAUCUAUUAUAUUUUCGAUAUAAAGAUGCAGUUCAACGAGUUUUAAAUGAUUAAAAAUAGAAAUGAAAAUAGAAAUAAAAAAGAUAUCGCC
rnacentral:lncRNA from 1 species